GGCAAACGGGUGCGGAACACGUACACAACCUUCCUGUAAGUGGGGGGAUAGCCCAGAGAAAUUUGGAUUAAUACCCCUUAAUAUUAGAGAGUGGCAUCACUUUUUAAUUAAAGCUCCGGCGCUUAUUGAUGGGUGUGCGUCUGAUUAGGUAGUUGGCGGGGUAACGGCCCACCAAGCCUUCGAUCAGUAACUGGUGUGAGAGCACGACCAGUCACACGGGCACUGAGACACGGGCCCG
rnacentral:rRNA from 1 species